UGUAUGCAUGGUAGUAUGGUAUCAAGUAGAGCUGAUCAUAGGCAGGCCUAGCCUUGACUAAAAAAGUUUGCCCAUUAAAUUCAUAGACAAAUCCACUAGAGUACUUCAAGCAAAAAAUCAACAGCGUGUUCAAACCCGCUAUCUCGGUCAUUUGGAUCGAGCUAAAUUUUAACUAAGAAUAAAAAUUUAGGUUGUCCAAAAUUCAACACUGAACCUAUCAUUUUUUGAGCCGCCCUACAUUUAAUACUGUCUAAUUCCAACACUACUAGAAAAUUUGUUAAAUAUAUACCUCUCUAGUAUGAGAGUACAAUCAAUCCAUUUCAAUGUAACGAACCAAACAUCCCCUAAAAUUUGUUAAAUGUACCAAAGAAAAAACACGGGUUUUAUUAAAAGAUCGGGCCGAGUCAUCUUUUGAAACGGGCUGCAUUUGAAAACAAUGAUCCAUUGAAUAGGCUUUUUAGUUCUCUCUUCCCCUCCGUCGACGCUUACUCCGAGUUCUCAGCUCUGAAUUCUCCAUUGAAUAGGCUUCUUAGCUUUCUCUCUUCCAUUCAAGCAGCUCGUUGCAAGAAACUAAAUAGAUCAGCAUAAUGGCGGCACGUGAUGCCAAAGGAAGAGACUCCCUCUUAUUAUAUCAGAAGCUGAGUGAAGCAGCUGGGACUUUGAGAGAGAGUUUCAAGAAAAGGAAAGUAGAAAGAAACCCAAGUUCACCAAAGCAUAAGUGCACAUACAUACAUUGAUCUGCAUUGGAUGUGGCAAAUUUUACACAUCUAGGCGACUUAUCAGCAAAAUAUUAACAACUGCAGAAAUUUCUGACUUGUUGGAUCCGUGAAUAAGAUCAAACGCCGUAGGCAGUCCAAUGAGUUGGAUGCUCCGACUCAACCAUUCUUUAAUGAACCUUGGAUAGGUUGAGGUAUGCGCUUGACAUGAGCUCUGCUGCAUGUUAAUGCUGCUGUCGCUACAACGAACUAAUACUGCUGCUGCCACUCCUGGCGCUACAGCUAAUACUGCUGCCGCCACCGCUGCUGCUAAUGUUGCUGCCGCCGCUGCUGCUAAUGUUGCUGCCCACUGCUACAUGUUGCUGCUGCCAGCAUUAAAGAGUUAAAUUAUUUAUUUUUGGGGGUGCUAGGGUGAAAUGGUAAUAUUACAGUACUUUUUUAGUGAAGAACUUAAUUUAUUUUCUUUUGGGAUGAAAUUGUAGUAUUACAGUAAUUUAUUUAUGAAAAUAUUUAAGCUUUUACUUCGUAUAUAUAUUUAUAUAUUACUAACUUUUCU